UGUCUUAAUUGUUCCCCUAUUUAGCUUUCCUACACAGUAAAAAAUGGGGUGUUAAUAUUUCAGAGUAAAGUUAUUUUAACCCAGAUAGAGUAUUUUCAACAUUUUGGGGAGUAAAACUGCUCUUUUAGUGGAGUUAAAAGUGAGUGUAAAAAUCUGCAGAAACGCAGUGACAAUUUCAACUCUACAGUAGUGAUAAAUACCCACCACUCUGCUGUGCUUGUCAAACGUGCUGCAUUUCAGUGGAGGAAGAUUGCGAAGGAGCAACGCUAGGCCACUGAUAUUGCUCGGGGCAAAAUGCUGUUGUGUGUUCAAUUCGGGGAAGAGCAGAAAUACGUCAAGCUGUCUGAGCUGACAUUCGAUGCUUUCUUGAAAGAAGUUACAUAAAAUCGGCUGCAGAUACCAUGGUGACCAAUGGUUUGAGGGUUCAAAUGAGGGUUCAAAGUCUGUCUCAAUGUAGCUUCAAAAUCUCGAUAUGAUCCCAGCAGAGAAAUAAGGUUCUUAUCUAGUUAAAUGAUCGGUCAUUUUCAAAAUAAAAAUACCACAAUUGUACGUUGUAGAAUCUCAAGAUGUGCCACAUGUGCCGUCAUGAUGUCGUAAAGGUCCAAUUGUGGUUAAAAAUUAUAUUAUUUUUAUU